GCGAGUUGGUGUGUGGCUUUCGAGCCUUGCUUAAUUGUGGGGCUUGAGGAAACUCCGCCCACGUGUAGAAUUGCAGCCUCUUUAUUGGGGCAAGGCGAGAGCCUUGGCUACGGAGCAGAAACGAAACGUCCACCUAGAUGCAUGGCGAUGAUGCAUGCUAAAUUGCUGAGUUUACUGGGUGUGAAGCGUUGAAACGGCCGUCCUGCAAGUGGAAAGGGCAAACAGACGCUGAUGAGGAAUCUACCUGAGAGCGCGGGUAGCCCGAUUAGCCGAAUGCCACAAAAAACAAAAGGCGGGUUACUGCCAAGACAC
rnacentral:RNase_P_RNA from 1 species